rnacentral:rRNA from 1 species
UACGUAGGGCGCAAGCGUUGUCCGGAAUUAUUGGGCGUAAAGAGCUCGUAGGCGGUCUGUCGCGUCCGUUGUGAAAACUCGAGGCUCAACCUCGGGCUUGCAGUGGAUACGGGCAGACUAGAGUGCGGUAGGGGAGACUGGAAUUCCUGGUGUAGCGGUGGAAUGCGUAGAGAUCGGGAAGAACAUCAGUGGCGAAGGCGGCCUGCUGGGCUGUUGCUGACGCUGAGGCGCGACAGCGUGGGGAGCAAACAGG